AAAGCCUGUUUGGUGAUCUCUUCACAUGGAUGCACAUGAAAUUUGGUGCUGUGACUCAGAUCGGGGGACCUCCCUUGGGAGAUCAAUCCCCUGUACUCCUGUUCUUUGCUCCAUGACAAAGAUCCACCUAUGACCUCAGGUCCUCAGACCGACCAGCCCAAGGAACAUCUCACCAAUUGUAAAUCAGGACAUCUGUGCCCUAAGUGGAAUGGUAGAGACCAUUAAAAAAUUGUCUUGAAAACAUACAGCUGAUAUUUUAGCACCGUGCAUUCUGGACAUGUUCACUGAAGCUCUGGGUAAAGAAGUUGGAAGGAAAGCCAUGAAUUGAGAGAAAGUGGGAGCUACAGUGAAGAGAGAGAGCAUGACCUAAGUAGGAAGGGAAGGGAGAGAGGAAAAAGAAAGAAACCACGGAAGGAUGGAAAGGGAGAAACCUCAUCUGGGCCAAUUGGGGUCUGGCUUCUUCAGGGGAGCUACUUAACCAUAGAGCACGUGACGAAAAACGAUUGAAAGAUCAGGUUCAAUCACAUGGGCUGAAGUCCAUCUCACCUCCAGUUCUGUCUUGCUCUGCUUUUGAGGAUUGUUAAUGGUCAGCCUGAUGAAGGGCAGCGGGUAGAACCAGAGCGCUGAAUGCUUCUGAGCUGCAUGCUGGCUCCUGAGCAUUGACAACAUUCUCCUGCCCAUGCAGCAUCAGCCCCAGAAAGAGCUGAGAGAGCUGCCCUGAGGAUUCAUUCUGUGUGUGUUGGAGGAGUGGGGGUGGGGGUGGAGGUGAUUACAGGGAACAACAGAGAAAAAGAGAAGUAUAGUUUAUAAUUUCCCCUUACAUUGAAUGGCUUUGUAGCUGCUGAAUUGUGCUACCUGUUUUCAUACUGAGAUUUAUCUAAAUGUAUUUUAAUGGCAUAGGUACUAGUAAAAAAUUUUAGUCAAAUAAUGUGUCUACAUAAAAAGUCUGUAAAAAGCCUUGCCUUGCAAAAUAAACUGUUAAUUGCAUUUAAAGAUAAUAAGGGUUAAAAAAAUAAGGGGCAUGUUUACAGGGAUAAAUGUUCAUUGUGAACAAGAAAAUGUGGUUUCAACUAAAGUAAGGUAAUUAACAACAACACAAAAACGCCAAAGGAUUUGGAGAACCGAAACAAAAACAAAACGCCUCAGAAGGGUGAUGCACCUUCCGACUCUCCCUUCCUCGUGCUCAGCCCCCACGUCAAUCACCUCCUCUCAGCGGUCACUAACCUGGCUAUUUGUCUGUUUCCACACUACUGCAUCACAAAACAUCAUGCCCACUUGCCUGGAAAAGAUAAUAUCUCACACAUAUGGGGCCUGCCUUUGAUCUCUGUGGUCGAGCUGGAGGUCAGAGGCCUGCCUUCUUCAGGCCCUUACUUCAAAUGAUUCCUUUCAUUUACUGAGAAACCAAACGUUAGAAGGGCAAAGGCAGAAAAAAUAAAGCCGUGAUUUAAUAGCAA
rnacentral:lncRNA from 1 species